rnacentral:rRNA from 1 species
GGAAGUAAAAGUCGUAACAAGGUCUCCGUUGGUGAACCAGCGGAGGGAUCAUUAUCGAGUUAUUCAAACUCCCAACCCUCUGUGAACAUACCUUUCCGUUGCCUCGGCGGAGAUUUUUAGUGGUUCUAAAAACCCGCCGAAGGCCUUUUUUAAACUCUUAGUUCUAAUAAGCAUCUGAGAAAAAAAGAUAAAUAAAUCAAAACUUUCAACAACGGAUCUCUUGGUUCUGGCAUCGAUGAAGAACGCAGCGAAAUGCGAUAAGUAAUGUGAAUUGCAGAAUUCAGUGAAUCAUCGAAUCUUUGAACGCACAUUGCGCCUAUUAGUAUUCUAAUAGGCAUGCCUAUUCGAGCGUCAUUUCGACCCUUAAGCCUAAGUCGUUUAGUGUUGAGAACUUAUAUCUAUAAUUCUCCAAAGUCAGUGGUAACGUUGGGACAUUUUCUAAGCGUAGUAAUAUCUUCUCGCUUCUGUAGAUGUGUCUAAAAGUUUCCUGAACGUUUUAACUCCAAUGGUUGACCUCGGAUUAGGUAGGAAUACCCGCUGAACUUAAGCAUAUC